rnacentral:misc_RNA from 1 species
AGAGCAUUGGAGGCUGCUUCUGCUGAUAGUUACAAUCAUUGUGUGAGAGAACGUCUUUUGUUUCCGCGUGCAGAGAAUUUGGACAAUGAUGGGAAAGUAUUGAGACUUCUGUCAGGUUAUUUGGCUGAUAAGCGUGCUUCCAUCACAUCUGAGCCAUUGUCCAGACAAUUCAUCCAAAGAAUUAAGAAGCCUAGAGUCCGGCAGCUAGUUGGCAAGUUGCUAUGUCCGGUAUCUUUUGAGCCUUCCAUGGUCAACACAGUUCUGGAAGCAUGGUAUGGUCCAUCUCUCUUACCUGAAAAGAAAGACGAACUAACCAACUUUGUCGACAUGGUUGAGAGCUUAAUGGGGAUGCUUCCUUCCAACUAUCAUCUGGCAAUUUGUGUAUGCAAGCAGAUUACGAAAACCUCAAUUCCAGCAAACACUUCUGGUGGCGUCUCCUUCUGGGGAAGUGCUCUACUGAUAAGUGCAUUAUUUCAAGCUGUUCCCGUUGCGCCAGAAUAUGUAUGGGUAGAAGCUUCAGAUAUUUUGCAUGGUCUUACAGGUUCCCCGUCCCUAUCCCUCAGUUUCCUGAAGAGAGCUCUGUCUGUAUAUCCAUUCUCUGUAAUGCUGUGGAAAUCUUAUCUCAGUUUGUCCGAGGCCGAAGGAAACUCAGAAGCUGUUAAAGAAGCAGCAAUGGCAAAAGGUAUUGAACUCCAGUAACUAAUGCACACACCCCUCGAUAAACCUCGGGGCAGUUUUUUUUAGUGUACUGAAUUGUUGUAUUUUUGUAGAGAAUUAGAGAAGUGUACAUGAGAGGAAAAUCAUGUAAUUUCAUGUUGCCACAGGUAUUUCUUUGAGAGAAACAUUUUUAUUCAGUAGCUUAUGAAUGUUUAGAGUAGAAGUUACCGUAUUGAU